UUCUUGCAGAUAUAUUCUAUUCAUCAGGUUUGACUCAUGAUUUAUACGCACAACAAGUGUACAAAAAUGUAAACCACUUAAAGAAUGUCUGUCAGUCAGUAUUAUGUACAGAUAUCGAGACAAAUCCUGGACCUGUAUUCUAUAUUGAUCCCAGCAAGACAAUCAGUGCACCAUAUAGCCAAGGUAAUCAGAUUAUAUUUGGAGAAACAGCAGGACAGCAGUGUUUAGCAAUGUGUUUAUGUGCCCUUAUAUACAACAAAAGGCAGAACAUUUUAUCGCCACAAGACCUGGUUAAUAUAAUGAAUAUUGGUAAUGAACUAUAUUCAAACUUAUCAUGUUUAGCACAGCAAUCAUUUUUAUUGUUUACAGAAUUGCCUUCACAACUUACAGUAUUUGACACAGAUUUUGUUUUAG